UACGGAGGGUGCAAGCGUUAUCCGGAUUCACUGGGUUUAAAGGGUGCGUAGGUGGGCAGGUAAGUCAGUGGUGAAAUCUUUGGGCUUAACCCGAAAACUGCCAUUGAUACUAUUUGUCUUGAAUAUUGUGGAGGUCAGCGGAAUAUGUCAUGUAGCGGUGAAAUGCUUAGAUAUGACAUAGAACACCAAUUGCGAAGGCAGCUGGCUACACAUAUAUUGACACUGAGGCGCGAAAGCUAGGGGAGCAAACAGG
rnacentral:rRNA from 1 species